AGCUUGACUCCACCUCCUCUAGACCUCAUUUAAGGGCUGACCACCACUAAGGCUGCAUGUCUUGGAGAUUGCUCCCUGGUGGAAAUAGUCUCAGCAGUUCCUGGCAGACUGAAGGAUUCCAUAUGGGGGGACACUCAGUAAUGCUGAUCUGAAGCUUUACUCCCAGAAGAAGAAGCAGGUCUUGACUUCAGGAGAUUUAUCAGAACACUGUAAUAACUUAUAAAGUUAGAGAGCAGCACCCAUAAAAGGAAAAGAUGGAGCUUUAUAAAGGAGAAAAAAA